UGGGUGGGCAUAUUACAGCGCUUUUGUGAGAAAGCGCUGUAAUAUGCCCACCCAUAUAUGAAAUUAUGGUUGGGCAUUUUACAACGCUUUUUUGAGAAAGCGCUGUAAUAUGCCCAACCAUAAUU
rnacentral:snoRNA from 1 species